ACUAAGGGGCAUACUUAGUACGGCGAGUGAAGCGGUAAAAGCUCAAAUUUGAAAUCUGGUACUUUCAGUGCCCGAGUUGUAAUUUGUAGAAUUUGUCUUUGAUUAGGUCCUUGUCUAUGUUCCUUGGAACAGGACGUCAUAGAGGGUGAGAAUCCCGUUUGGCGAGGAUACCUUUUCUCUGUAAGACUUUUUCGAAGAGUCGAGUUGUUUGGGAAUGCAGCUCAAAGUGGGUGGUAAAUUCCAUCUAAAGCUAAAUAUUGGCGAGAGACCGAUAGCGAACAAGUACAGUGAUGGAAAGAUGAAAAGAACUUUGAAAAGAGAGUGAAAAAGUACGUGAAAUUGUUGAAAGGGAAGGGCAUUUGAUCAGACAUGGUGUUUUUUGCAUGCACUCGCCUCUCGUGGGCUUGGGCCUCUCAAAAAUUUCACUGGGCCAACAUCAAUUCUGGCAGCAGGAUAAAUCAUUAAGAAUGUAGCUACUUCGGUAGUGUUAUAGCUUUUUGGAAUACUGUUAGCCGGGAUUGAGGACUGCGCUUCGGCAAGGAUGUUGGCAUAAUGGUUAAAUGCCGCCCGUCUUGAACCACGGACCA
rnacentral:rRNA from 1 species